ACAGAGCGCCUACGGGAGUCAGCAGUGAGGAAUAUUGGUCAAUGGGCGGGAGCCUGAACCAGCCAAGUCGCGUGAGGGAAGACGGUCCUAUGGAUUGUAAACCUCUUUUGUCGGGGAGCAAAGAGGCCACGUGUGGUCAAAAGCGAGAGUACCCGAAGAAAAAGCAUCGGCUAACUCCGUGCC
rnacentral:rRNA from 1 species